CAGCCGUAAACAAUGUGCGUUAGGUGUGUCGGUAACCACGCGUUACUGAUGCGCCGAAGAGAAAUCGUGAAACGCACCACCUGGGAAGUACGGUCGCAAGGCUGAAACUUAAAGGAAUUGGCGGGGGAGCACCACAACAGGUGGAGCCUGCGGUUUAAUUGGAUUCAACGCCGGACAUCUCACCGGAUAAGACAGCUGAAUGAUUGUCAAUCUGAAGGUUUUACAUGACUAGCUGAGAGGAGGUGCAUGGCGUCAGUGACUGU
rnacentral:rRNA from 1 species